rnacentral:rRNA from 1 species
UACGUAGGGCGCAAGCGUUAUCCGGAAUUAUUGGGCGUAAAGAGCUCGUAGGCGGUUUGUCGCGUCUGCCGUGAAAGUCCGGGGCUCAACUCCGGAUCUGCGGUGGGUACGGGCAGACUAGAGUGAUGUAGGGGAGAUUGGAAUUCCUGGUGUAGCGGUGGAAUGCGCAGAUAUCAGGAGGAACACCGAUGGCGAAGGCAGAUCUCUGGGCCGUAACUGACGCUGAGGAGCGAAAGCAUGGGUAGCGAACAGG